rnacentral:lncRNA from 1 species
GCCGAUUUGAGGUUACGAAAAGGAAAGCUUAAAUUAUGGGAAGAGUGAUAAGUUUCGAGAUUGUGGUAUUUUCGGAAUUAAAUGAUGUGCCUUUUUCCGUUCUAACCGGCAUGAAAUUUCGAGGGCGAAAUUUUUAUAAGGAGGGGAGAAUGUAACAUCCCGUAUCGUCACUUACCCGUUUACUAGUCAUUUGGACGGUAAAUGACAAUUACUUUUACUUUUCACCCUAAUUUGGUAGUUUAGUGGCCCUAAAAGUUGACUUUUUGUUCGGGUCAAAAUUUGGGAAAAUGUUCUUCAUGGAAGUCGUAGAGGACGUUAAACCGAGCGCGUGCAUAUGUGGUACGUAAAAAUCGGAGCUCGUAUGCGAAAGUUAGAAGCGAAAAUGUAGAAGUUACUGUUCAUGGUAACUUUUGAUAAAAAUGGAAAGUUACCCGGGUAGGUUUCCAUUUCCGGAAACCACCCCGGCUCUUUCUCUCUCCUCUCCCCCGAGCUCUCUCUUCUCCGGUUCGGUCUCCUCCUCACCCCUCCGAUUUCCGGCGAUUCCGGCCACCACAGGGCGUGCCACCGGUCACCAGAGGAGCGCCUCCUCCCUCCGAGCACCCCAGCAGCCUUGGUUUUCCACGAUUUGGCCGGAAAACCACGGAUCGAAGCCUAAACCACUCCGGCUGCAGUUUGGGACUUUUGCCGAUUUCCGGCGAUUCCGGCCACCUCCGGUCCCCAUUUCGCCAUCGAAGGUUCGG